UGGGGAAUAUUGGACAAUGGGCGAAAGCCUGAUCCAGCCAUGCCGCGUGUGUGAAGAAGGUCUUCGGAUUGUAAAGCACUUUAAGUUGGGAGGAAGGGCAGUAAGCGAAUACCUUGCUGUUUUGACGUUACCGACAGAAUAAGCACCGGCUAACUCUGUGCCAGCAGCCGCGGUAAUACAGAGGGUGCAGGCGUUAAUCGGAAUUACUGGGCGUAAAGCGCGCGUAGGUGGUUCGUUAAGUUGAAUGUGAAAGCCCCGGGCUCAACCUGGGAACUGCAUCCAAAACUGGCGAGCUAGAGUAGGGCAGAGGGUGGUGGAAUUUCCUGUGUAGCGGUGAAAUGCGUAGAUAUAGGAAGGAACACCAGUGGCGAAGGCGACCACCUGGGCUCAUACUGACACUGAGGUGCGAAAGCGUGGGGAGCAAACAGG
rnacentral:rRNA from 1 species